AUUUAUGAAUUCAACAACACCAAAAAUAUAAUUAAAAUCCAUUUAACUCACACAAUUCAUGCAGUCCAAUUUAAGUCAGAUGUAUUUGGUUUCAUACUCACUUCUUCUAACUAAUGCAUUUACACUAAAUGGGUAGAUGUCUGGAAAGCACAUGUCUAUCAUUUUAUGGUAUACACAGUAUGUCCAUACCACCCACUCUUAAUAAAUGACAAUGUUUUUAUUAUUAAUAACCUGUUUUGUUGAUUAAUAAAAAAAGGUGACCUCCAAUAUGGCUCACACAUAAGUACACAUGAGCCUUAAAGCCUCUAAAGAAGACUGUGGUAAAAGUUCAGCGUAAAUGUGAAGCAGAGAGUUGCAGGGAAAAGUGUGUGCAUCCUCAGUGAGCUGUGUUUGGAUAAGUAAAGGUUAAUCCCCAAGCAACCAGCGUCUUAAUUUCCAGGCUGUGGAUGGAGACACGAGGUUUACUGUAUGACCGGCAGAUGUGGAAGGACAACAGAGACUAACAGAAACACACAAAGCCUGCUAUUGUCCAUUCCUGUUUCCAGAGGCAAGGAGAAGAAGCACAUGAUAGAUAGUCUCGGUAAUUCCUAACAUAUCUGCUUGAUACAACAACGGUGAUCAGAGAGCAAGAGACCAUGUCAUCUGCUAUGGAAUUGAUAAAGAUGAAGUCAGGAUCUCUACCCCUUCACUAGGAAGUCUCAAUCCACAUAAGCUCUUGCUGUUGAGCCCCACACAGUAGGAAUCUGUCAAAGUGCAGAUAAAUAAAGCACGCCAAAGCAGCUGUUGAGCCAGUGCGUGUUCAAUAAGAUAACCAAGCGUAAUGGCUUCAGUUCGAGUCUGCAGACUUUGUUUUCACAAGUCGCCGUGUUCUGCCAUGGGGAAAACCAUCGGAGAGCAGCUCCCUUCUGCCUACACUUGUUAUGACGUAAGAGAGCAGAGAGGCACCUUCUCGCUCGCUUCCUUUCCAGGAAAACAUGAUGUGUUUUUGGACUGGACCUCAUCUGAAUAUCUCAAUUUUCCACUGCCCUCACUGGCACUGCAUUUAUAUAUUUAUAUAAAUGUGUUGUGUGGAAGUAGAAAGACCUUCAAAUCAGAGGAAUGAGGCAAAUUAUGAAGAGAAGAGAACAGAUGAGGAGCCAGGCAUCCUGAUAUUUCAACGAGAUAUCUACCGUGGCUGAACUAUUGUGCAAUAAAAAGGAUCCUCGCUAUCAGUUCUCCCACCCAGGCUAUCUCUUUGCCCCACACUGCUGCAGACUGAAGCUCAGAGGGGCCGGCCCCUUGUUCUUGAUAGCAGGACUCUGAGAAAAACACACUUCACAUAUAGUGGGAAUGCCUAUAAUGGCGACAAAUCAUAAAAAUGUUUAAGAAAAUAACAUAAAUGGCUCCGCAAUAAAAGGCAAAACCGGAAUUAUGUAUUAGGUUUUAUGAACCAUUUUAUUUGUCGUACAGAUGCACUAAUCCUCCAAACAGCCAAGUUUCCACGCAGGGAGAUAAAUACAGGCAACAUACCAAAGAGUAAAAUAAAUUUAAAAAACUACAAAAAAGUUUGAUAUUUUAGAAUAAC